AGAGUUUGAUCCUGGCUCAGAUUGAACGCUGGCGGCAGGCCUAACACAUGCAAGUCGAGCGGCAGCGGAAGGAAGCUUGCUUCCUUGCCGGCGAGCGGCGGACGGGUGAGUAAGGUAUGGGGAUCUGGCCGAAGGCGGGGGAUAACCACUGGAAACGGUGGCUAAUACCGCAUAAUCUCUAAGGAGCAAAGUGGGGGACCAUUAUGGCCUUACACCUUCGGAUGAACCCGUAUGAGAUUAGCUAGUAGGUGGGGUAAAGGCUCACCUAGGCGACGAUCUCUAGCUGGUCUGAGAGGAUGAUCAGCCACACUGGGACUGAGACACGGCCCAGACUCCUACGGGAGGCAGCAGUGGGGAAUAUUGCACAAUGGGCGCAAGCCUGAUGCAGCCAUGCCGCGUGUAUGAAGAAGGCCUUCGGGUUGUAAAGUACUUUCAGUCGUGAGGAAGGUGUUAAGGUUAAUAGCCUUAGCAAUUGACGUUAGCGACAGAAGAAGCACCGGCUAACUCCGUGCCAGCAGCCGCGGUAAUACGGAGGGUGCGAGCGUUAAUCGAAAUUACUGGGCGUAAAGGGCACGCAGGCGGUUAAUUAAGUUGGAUGUGAAAUCCCCGGGCUUAACCUGGGAAUGGCAUUCAAGACUGGUUAGCUAGAGUCUUGUAGAGGGGGGUAGAAUUCCAUGUGUAGCGGUGAAAUGCGUAGAGAUGUGGAGGAAUACCGGUGGCAAAGGCGGCCCCUGGACAAAGACUGACGCUCAUGUGCGAAAGUGUGGGGAGCAAACAGGAUUAGAUACCCUGGUAGUCCACGCUGUAAACGAUGUCGAUUUGGAGGUUGUGGUCUAGAACUGUGGCCUCCGGAGCUAACGCGUUAAAUCGAUCGCCUGGGGAGUACGGCCGCAAGGUUAAAACUCAAAUGAAUUGACGGGGGCCCGCACAAGCGGUGGAACAUGUGGUUUAAUUCGAUGCCACGCGAAGAACCUUACCUACUCUUGACAUCCAGCGAAGCCUUUAGAGAUAGAGGCGUGCCUUCGGGAGCGCUGAGACAGGUGCUGCAUGGCUGUCGUCAGCUCGUGUUGUGAAAUGUUGGGUUAAGUCCCGUAACGAGCGCAACCCUUAUCCUUUGUUGCCAGCGAUUCGGUCGGGAACUCAAAGGAGACUGCCGGUGAUAAAUCGGAGGAAGGUGGGGAUGACGUCAAGUCAUCAUGGCCCUUACGAGUAGGGCUACACACGUGCUACAAUGGCGUAUACAGAGAGAGGCGAUCCUGCGAGGGGAAGCGGAACUCAGAAAGUACGUCAAAGUCCGGAUUGGAGUCUGCAACUCGACUCCAUGAAGUCGGAAUCGCUAGUAAUCGCGGAUCAGCAUGUCGCGGUGAAUACGUUCCCGGGCCUUGUACACACCGCCCGUCACACCAUGGGAGUGGGUUGCAAAAGAAGUAGGCAGCUUAACCUUUUGGAUGGCGCUUACCACUUUGUGAUUCAUGACUGGGGUGAAGUCGUAACAAUGCGUAACCGUAGGGGAACGCAUGCGGCUGGAUCACCU
rnacentral:rRNA from 1 species